rnacentral:rRNA from 1 species
ACGGGAGGCAGCAGUGGGGAAUAUUGCACAAUGGGGGAAACCCUGAUGCAGCGACGCCGCGUGAGUGAAGAAGUAUUUCGGUAUGUAAAGCUCUAUCAGCAGGGAAGAUAAUGACGGUACCUGACUAAGAAGCCCCGGCUAACUACGUGCCAGCAGCCGCGGUAAUACGUAGGGGGCAAGCGUUAUCCGGAUUUACUGGGUGUAAAGGGAGCGCAGGUGGCAUGGCAAGUCAGAUGUGAAAGCCCGGGGCUCAACCCCGGGACUGCAUUUGAAACUGUCAAGCUAGAGUGCAGGAGAGGUAGGCGGAAUUCCUAGUGUAGCGGUGAAAUGCGUAGAUAUUAGGAGGAACACCAGUGGCGAAGGCGGCCUACUGGACUGUAACUGACACUGAGGCUCGAAAGCGUGGGGAGCAAACAGGAUUAGAUACCCUGGUA